AUUGAACGCUGGCGGCAGGCCUAACACAUGCAAGUCGCGCGAGCGGCGGACGGGUGAGUAAUGUCUGGGAAACUGCCUGAUGGAGGGGGAUAACUACUGGAAACGGUAGCUAAUACCGCAUACCAUCAGAUGUGCCCCGAUGGGAUUAGCUAGUAGGUGGGGUAACGGCUCACCUAGGCGACGAUCCCUAGCUGGUCUGAGAGGAUGACCAGCCACACUGGAACUGAGACACGGUCCAGACUCCUACGGGAGGCAGCAGGGGGGAAUAUUGCGCAAUGGGGGCAACCCUGACGCAGCCAUGCCGCGUGAAUGAAGAAGGCCUUCGGGUUGUAAAGUACUUUCAGCGGGGAGGCGUUACCCGCAGAAGAAGCACCGGCUAACUCCGUGCCAGCCGCCGCGGUAAUAC
rnacentral:rRNA from 1 species